GCCAUAAAUAAGAGUAGUUGUGAUCCAUUCAUUGUCCCUAUAUAUCGCAAGGUACUUUGAGAAGUUUAUUUUGGAAUUCUGCAUGUUGCAGCUUAGUUUAUUCCUGCAAUCUGGUGUCUCCUAUCUAAAAAAAAAAGGUUAACAUUUAAGUUCCUAACUGACUUUUCCAUAACAGACUUUCCUGAAAUGCCAACCUUUUUUGUGUGAUAUCAUAAGGAAUACAUCUUUGCUGUAUUUGAAAGACCAGAGAUUAUUGGUUGACUGGAGGUGUACC